rnacentral:tRNA from 1 species
UAUAAGAUGCCUGAAUAAAGGAUAAUUUUGAUAGAAUUAAUCAUGUGAUAAAUCACUCUUAUAA